rnacentral:rRNA from 1 species
AACGCGAAGAACCUUACCUGGGCUCGAAGCGCAGUGGACCGGGGUGGAAACAUCCCUUUUCGCAAGAACUGCUGCGGAGGUGCUGCAUGGCUGUCGUCAGCUCGUGUCGUGAGAUGUUGGGUUAAGUCCCGCAACGAGCGCAACCCUUAUCUCUAGUUGCCAUCGGGUCAAGCCGGGCACUCUAGCGAAACCGCCUCGGAUAACGGGGAGGAAGGUGGGGAUGACGUCAAGUCCUCAUGGCCUUUAUGUCCAGGGCUACACACGUGCUACAAUGGUCGGUACAAACCGUCGCAAACCCGCGAGGGGGAGCUAAUCGGAAAAGCCGGACCUCAGUUCGGAUUGGAGUCUGCAACCCGACUCCAUGAAGCUGGAAUCGCUAGUAAUCGCGGAUCAGAACGCCGCGGUGAAUACGUUCCCGGGCCUUGUACACACCGCAUAC